rnacentral:rRNA from 1 species
UAGGGAAUCUUCGGCAAUGGGGGGAACCCUGACCGAGCAACGCCGCGUGAUUUAGAAGGCCUUCGGGUUGUAAAAAUCUUUUGUAUGGGAAGAAAAUGACAGUACCAUACGAAUAAGGACCGGCUAAUUACGUGCCAGCAGCCGCGGUAAUACGUAAGGUCCGAGCGUUGUCCGGAAUCAUUGGGCGUAAAGGGUACGUAGGCGGAUAAGCAAGUUAGAAGUGAAAUCCUAUAGCUCAACUAUAGUAAGCUUUUAAAACUGCUCAUCUUGAGGUAUGGAAGGGAAAGUGGAAUUCCUAGUGUAGCGGUGAAAUGCGCAGAUAUUAGGAGGAAUACCGGUGGCGAAGGCGACUUUCUGGCCAUAUACUGACGCUGAGGUACGAAAGCGUGGGUAGCAAACAGG